rnacentral:sRNA from 2 species
AUACACUUCAUUGGGGAGUAGCCGCUAUUCACGUUUUCAACGUGAAUAGGUGAUGAUCAACAUAAUUGUUCAACAGAACAUGGUCAUCAUAGCAAAGAACCAAUUUAACUGAAUCUUCACUUUGUU